rnacentral:rRNA from 1 species
AAGUGAGAAUGCCGGUGUGAGUAGCGAAAGACGGGUGAGAAUCCCGUCCACCGAUUGACUAAGGUUUCCAGAGGAAGGCUCGUCCGCUCUGGGUUAGUCGGGUCCUAAGCUGAGGCCGACAGGCGUAGGCGAUGGAUAACAGGUUGAUAUUCCUGUACCACCUAUAAUCGUUUUAAUCGAUGGGGGGACGCAGUAGGAUAGGCGAAGCGUGCGAUUGGAUUGCACGUCUAAGCAGUAAGGCUGAGUAUUAGGCAAAUCCGGUACUCGUUAAGGCUGAGCUGUGAUGGGGAGAAGACAUUGUGUCUUCGAGUCGUUGAUUUCACACUGCCGAGAAAAGCCUCUAGAUAGAAAAUAGGUGCCCGUACCGCAAACCGACACAGGUAGUCAAGAUGAGAAUUCUAAGGUGAGCGAGCGAACUCUCGUUAAGGAACUCGGCAAAAUGACCCCGUAACUUCGGGAGAAGGGGUGCUCUUUAGGGUUAACGCCCAGAAGAGCCGCAGUGAAUAGGCCCAAGCGACUGUUUAUCAAAAACACAGGUCUCUGCUAAACCGUAAGGUGAUGUAUAGGGGCUGACGCCUGCCCGGUGCUGGAAGGUUAAGAGGAGUGGUUAGCUUCUGCGAAGCUACGAAUCGAAGCCCCAGUAAACGGCGGCCGUAACUAUAACGGUCCUAAGGUAGCGAAAUUCCUUGUCGGGUAAGUUCCGACCCGCACGAAAGGCGUAACGAUUUGGGCACUGUCUCAACGAGAGACUCGGUGAAAUCAUAGUACCUGUGAAGAUGCAGGUUACCCGCGACAGGACGGAAAGACCCCGUGGAGCUUUACUG